CGGUCGGACACCGAGGGUCGCGCAGAAGGGGUGUGCUUUUGGGAUAUUUUGGAAGGAGGGCAAGGAAUAGGAAGGGGUCCGGAGAGCGGUAAAGAGAGUUAGGGCGUUUUGGGUGCGCUUAGGUGGUUCGAGGAAGGAAGUUGACCUGAAGGACGGGGAAGAUCCCAAAGCGGGGGGUGGUUGGGGACGGGGGGCCCAAUGACGAGCACGAGAGUCGGUACCGCUGGUGCCGGAAGGGGUGGAGCUGGGGGAAGAAGCAGGUGGUGCCGUGGGCCGCGGGGAGGCAGUUGGAGGCUUGCUGGCGCCACCACAUGCCGGCACCACCCGCCGCCACCGCCGGUGACGCGCAGCGGACGCUCUUCCACCACCCCUAGCUGGAGCCCUGGUGGUUGAGUCGCCAGCGCCGCUACCUCCCGCCGUUCGGGUGGUAGCAGUGGUUGCGGCUCCCGCGCGCCUGGUGCGGCAGCCAGCACCGCAUGUGGUUCCGGCCCCUGGCCGACCACCCUGUCUAGCGGUUCUCCGUCCGCCACCAGUUGGGCCUCUUGUGGAAGAAGAGGCAGUUCUCCAAGUAGCCGGCUUUCUACUUGCUCCAGCGGCUCCUCAGGUUCGUCCAAAGGAUGGAGGAACAGGCCCUGCUAUUGCCGUUGCAGUUCGAGCUAACGGGUCGUUAACCGUUCGUCAAGCGGCGCCUCCUCUAGAGACGUGUCCAGGACUCUUUCGACCAACUACUACGCAGUUUCAAAAAUUUACUGUUUCAGUGGUUCCGUCACUAGUGACAAGGACGAAUAAAGUUACUGAGGGUCUCCUGUCGAUGUUUUCUACGACCGGCGUAACGUCCGGACCUACAAGAGGCAUAGUAUUUGCUCGGAUGGCGCCGUAGCAACCGUAUACCAAAACUUUUUUUCUUGUUACUUUGUUAAGACCAAAAACUGGACCCUCCUCCGUGGAAACUACAAAGUCAAGAGCUUCAACCACUACCACAAAAACUCCACGACAGAUGUAGACCACUAUGAGUGGAACCACCACUACUGAAACUGUUCUCUUAACAACUAACCGACCGACCUUCGAAGUUCUUACUACUCCCAUAACUGGACGAUUUUCUGUUCGUUCGAGAGGUCGCAGAAUGUCUUCGUCGACUCUUCCGGUUCUACCUUAACAGUAGCAACUGGGUUUGUUUAUAGUCAAAUGGAAAGUAGUGUCGAUGACGACUACCCGGGUUCGUAUAACUCUGUUGUGAAUGGUCCCCAUUUAAACUCCUCGAUACGAGCCUAGAAGAACUGUCCGACUCCUGUGGACAGCUGUUAAGAGAAUCUCUACGCUUCAACAGUGAAUUUCUUUAUCUACUCCACUAAGAACACCCACCAAGGUGUUCUUAAGGUCGACAAGUCCUAGAACACUUCUUUUACUGCCCUUUCCUAGGGUUACACUGUCAGUUAGGGCUACUCCAACAACGAGAACCUCGUCGCCACGUCCGUCCUCAUAACAGCCCGCUACACUCGCUAUAACACGAAGAACUACAAUGCGGUGACAGAGAACCAAACCUCUGUGACCCACCCCACUACUGGUUCUAAUAGGGUUCCUUGUGUUGGGAGGGAUGGAGGUUCAGUCUCCAGAAAAGUUGCCGACGACUACCUGUCUGAUCACACCUCUAAUUACAAGAGGUUCCUCUUUCUCUCAAACAAUCCCUGUUAUUUAGGGAACCAUCGAAGUCCGAACUACCUUAAGGAGGACGAGGUGCACCACAAGGGGUUUAACUUCAGUUCAAACUAUAACUACGGUUACCGUAAGACAGACAACGACGCCACCUAUUCCCAUGACCCUUCUUCGUCCUGUAAUGCUAGUGACCUCGGUCGUGUGACGGUUUCCUACUCCAUCUCUUCUACCACCUUCUUCGACUUUUUAAGCGCCGCCUCCUGUUCCUCUUCUCCCUGCGUUAACUGUGGUUCUUGGUCCGUCUUAGACACUAGAUGGUCUGACUCUUUGUUGACUUCCUCGAGCCCCUGUUCCAGGGUCCGCUACAGUUCCUCUUCCACCUCCCCUUCGAGUUCCUUGAGGUCCAGCGGCAACGACCACCUAGCUGUGUCUGCUAUUUCCUACGUGAUCGACGCAACUUGGUUCUUCACUACGUCGAACCAGUCAGGGAGAUGGUCGUCGUCCCCAGUCCGGGAUGGGGACCUCGACUGCCGCGACGACUGAGAUGUCCGGGUCCGGGUCCGGGUAGACUCUUCUGUCCGCUACCACCACUGCAGUAUCUGCGACUAAAAUGGCUGUCGUUAACUUAUCUUGUCAUCCAAUCCUGUACUACUUGUUCCACAACCGGCUCAAAAACUACAACCUCCAAACCUCUCAAGUCAAUAGUCAAACCUACCUAUCUAACCGAAAACGAACAACCAAUGAGCUGGGGAACCGAAACAUGCCAAUACAUAACCUAAAUGAUUGAGAGAUCUCUUGACCCAGUAAAGGACAAACCUCGUACACGGUUUUUGACCUAACAAUAAAACCCCUCGUAAGAUGAGGGAAGCAAAUAUUUAUAUUCGGGUAAAUCUCUAAAGUGAUGCCUGAUGUGUGUGUAGCUAUCUCAAUGAUUCGAGGGUGCUUAAUGGCCUGACACCACGUAACUCCGGAAAUCUGCCGCGCAACUGGUGCAACCAGCCACAAUGUUUCGCUCUACCUAGGGAGGUCCGUUUUGCUCUACCUAGGGCGGCCACCUGCGCUGAUUUCGAAGGAGUCCGGUGGUAGCACUGGAGGGUGUUUGUGAGUGGUUUGACCGUGUGUGAGGGUUCGCGGCGAGGAGCGUCUGGUGCCGCGUCGUCGCCGCCGCUGGUUAUCGGCCACGCGGCCCGUGGAGUGGAGGCACGCCACACUGACGAAGAACCGCUGCCGCCAGGUGCGGCCACGCCGGAGCACCACACCAGGAGCCGGAGUUCCGCCGAUGGGUACCGGUCUUGUGCGUCCUCUCCGCCCGAGCUGUACCGCAGGUCGCAGAUCUAGGCACUGGGCGGCACCUACAACCAGCGACGGAGGAGGAGUGGUGGUAUCCAGUAGUUGACCGACGAGGCCGAGAAAAGCCGGGGAGGAGGGGUACCCAUGGAGUUAAGACUGCUGACCUUAUCUCCGUCCUGUCCGUCGCUUAGGCCACAGCAGAAGAAGGAUAGGUAGAGUGGCCCAAGCCAGAAGAAGCAAAGAGGAAAUUAAAAAACAAACGGAAAACGACGAGAACCGAGCCAACGGACCUCGUGAACACAACGGUCGGUUGGACGGUAACCCCAGUCCUGAAGCAAGCCAAAACGAGCCGCCGCAACCGCCACCGCUAAAGGAAGCCAAGGCGACCCGGGAACAUAAAUGACCGGCGAUCUACCCUUGUGCGAGACGUCAGUCCGAGGAUGCUGUGUUGGUGGCGGUGGCGUACAUGAGCUGCAGCGCAAGCAGCGACUUCGAGGGUUUGUCGAGUGGAGGACCGUCGUUCCAUGCGGGAGUGGAGUAAGGAGGGGAUAGAGGAAAGAGGAGGGGGUUGUCUUCAAGGACGGCAAUCAACGAGGCCGCUGUUCCUUCGAGCUCGUCCAUUGUAACGCGGGUGGAGUAAGUCUAAACUAAAACGUUAUCAUGUUUUAAGUAUGGACGGCAUAGUGGUUAUACUCAUGAGGUCCUUUUACACACACCCUUACCUUAAUCUAAUACACGAAGAUUUCAAUUACAGUACAUCUAGUUCAAACAGGAAACAUCUUAGUGUACGUUUAAAGCAUGUAACUAGACGUUACCCUUUACGUGUUCGAAGAAGUAAGGUUUAGUCGUAACAAAAUUCAAUAAUGUUCCAAUCCUUAGUCUAAUACAUGACUAUUAGUAAAAUAAAGUUCGGUUUGACAUUAACAAUCUACCAGCACAGAUAAUAAAGGAUAUCUGUUGGGAAAAACUCAAGGAUACCUAAAUAGUCCCAAGUUUUAUCAGUUAGUAUGUUCGAUCGUCGUCCUUUUUAAACAGGGUUGAUAAUUGGAUGUUCUAAAUCGCUACGUACGAUAUACAUCGUUAAACCGGGGUUUUUGGACUUGUGGUAUGGUGUGUUUAGUCUUAUGAAUCGUUUCGUACGUAAGUACACGGGUUCGUACUACAACGUCAUUAUUAUGUGGAUCUAACUCAUUACAGGAGAACGAAAAAGUCCUUAGUCAAUUUUAUACGUUCAUACACGUGAGUCAAACAAGUUCCGAGAACCAGUAUUCAACCAGUCCUCUACUUUCUUAUGCCGAUUUGAAGUAUAUAUUCACUUAAAAAUAGGUCUUAACUUAAAAGAGGCUUUGA
rnacentral:rRNA from 1 species